rnacentral:rRNA from 1 species
GUCUAUGGCCAUGCUACCCUGCACAAGCCCAAUCCCAUCUGAUCUCAGAAGCUAAGCAGAGUCAGUCCUGGUUAGUACUUGGAUGGGAGACUACCUAGGAAGACUAAAUGAUGUAGGCA